rnacentral:rRNA from 1 species
UACGUAGGGACCAAGCGUUGUUCGGAUUUACUGGGCGUAAAGGGCGCGUAGGCGGCAAUUCAAGUCAGUUGUGAAAUCUCCGAGCUUAACUCGGAACGGUCAACUGAUACUGUUUUGCUAGAGUGCAGAAAGGGCAACCGGAAUUCUUGGUGUAGCGGUGAAAUGCGUAGAUAUGCGGAGGAACACCGAUGGCGAAGGCAAUCCCCUGGGCCUGCACUGACGCUCAUGCACGAAAGCGUGGGGAGCAAACAGG